UCUAAGUAUAAGUGUUAUACAGCGAAACUGCGAAUGGCUCAUUAAAACAGUUAUAGUUUAUUUGAUAAUCGAAUUUACAUGGAUAACCGUGGUAAUUCUAGAGCUAAUACAUGCUGGUAGGCCCGACUUUUGCGGAAGGGCGGUAUUUAUUAUAUAACAAGCCAAUAUUCCUCUGGUCUAUUGUGGUGACUCAUAAUAACUGAUCGAAUCGCAAGGCCUUUGGCCGCGAUAAGUCAUUCAAGUUUCUGCCCCAUCAGCUUUCGAUGGUAGUGUAUUGGACUACCAUGGCGUUUACGGGUAACGGAGGAUUAGGGUUCGAUUCCGGAGAGGGAGCCUGAGAAACGGCUACCACAUCUAAGGAAGGCAGCAGGCGCGUAAAUUACCCAAUCCUGACUCAGGGAGGUAGUGACAAGAAAUAACGGACCGAGGCCUUCGGGCUUCGGGAUUGGAAUGAGCCGAAUUUACACCCCUUAGCGAAGAUCGAUUGGAGGGCAAGUCUGGUGCCAGCAGCCGCGGUAAUUCCAGCUCCAAUAGCGUAUAUUAAAGUUGUUGUGGUUAAAAAGCUCGUAGUUGGAUUUCGGCGGGUAUUGGUCGGUUUGAAUUGCUUCAACACUGACUUUUUUACCCGUGUGUUUUGUCAGAAUUUAACGGGUGAUCUUCGCCGAUUGUCCGUUACAACUGGCAGGUUUACUUUGAAAA
rnacentral:rRNA from 1 species